CCUACGGGUGGCAGCAGUGGGGAAUAUUGGGCAAUGGGCGAAAGCCUGACCCAGCAACGCCGCGUGAAGGAAGAAGGCUUUCGGGUUGUAAACUUCUUUUGACAGGGAAGAGCAGAAGACGGUACCUGUCGAAUAAGCCACGGCUAACUACGUGCCAGCGGCCGCGGUAAUACGUAGGUGGCAAGCGUUGUCCGGAUUUACUGGGUUUAAAGGGCGUGUAGCCGGGCUGACAAGGCAGAUGUGAAAGCCGGGGGCUCAAUCGCCGAACGGCAUUGGAAACUGGUGGUCUUGAGUAUCGGAGAGGGGGGCGGAAUUCGGGGGGUAGCGGGGAA
rnacentral:rRNA from 1 species